rnacentral:rRNA from 1 species
GUGCGCGAGCUUCUUUUGUGCACCUGCUUCUAGGAUGGGACUGCGGCCGAUCAGGCUGUUGGUGGGGUAAUGGCCCACCAAACCUGUAACCGGUACGGGCCUUGAGAGAGGGGGCCCGGAGAUGGACACUGAGAGAAGGGUCCAGGUCCUACGGGGCGCAGCAGGCGCGAAACCUUCGCAAUGCGCGAAAGCGUGACGAGGUUAAUCCGAGUGGUUCCCGCUGAGGGAAUCUUUUGUUGGCUCUAAAAUGGCCAGUGAAUAAGGGGAGGGCAAGUCUGGUGUCAGCCGCCGCGGUAAUACCAGCUCCUCGAGUGGUCGGGGCGAUUAUUGGGCCUAAAGCAUCCGUAGCCAGUUCUGUAGGUCUUCUGUUAAAUCCAACGGCUUAACCGUUGGUCUGCAGAAGAUACCGCAGGACUAGGAGGCGGGAGAGGUGGACGGUACUCCACGUGUAGGGGUAAAAUCCUUUGAUCCGUGGAAGACCACCAGUGGCGAAGGCGGUCCACCAGAACGCGCUCGACGGUGAGGGAUGAAAGCUGGGGGAGCGAACCGGAUUAGAUACCCGGGUAGUCCCAGCCGUAAACGAUGCGAGCUAGAUGAUCC